GAGCUACUGUACUGGACGUACCUGCAGAAGAAGCACCGGCUAACUCCGUGCCAGCAGCCGCGGUAAUACGGAGGGUGCGAGCGUUAAUCGGAAUUACUGGGCGUAAAGAGUGCGUAGGUGGUUGACUAAGUUAUCUGUGAAAUCCCUGGGCUUAACCCUGGGCAGGUCAGAUGAUACUGGUUGACUCGAGUAUGGGAGAGGGUAGUGGAAUUUCCGGUGUAGCGGUGAAAUGCGUAGAGAUCGGAAGGAACACCAGUGGCGAAGGCGGCUACCUGGCCUAAUACUGACACUGAGGCACGAAAGCGUGGGGAGCAAACAGGAUUAGAUACCCUGGUAGUCCACGCUGUAAACGAUGUCAACUAGCUGUUGGUUAUAUGAAAAUAAUUAUGUGGCGCACGCAAACGCGAUAGU
rnacentral:rRNA from 1 species